CACAGAGUCUAGUUGGAGGCCUGUAGCUAGCGGUGUCCCCCAGGGGUCAGUACUGGGUCCAGUCUUGUUCAACUUCUUCAUCAAUGACCUGGAUGAAGGCACAGAGUGCACACUCAGCAAGUUUGCUGACGAUACAAAACUGGGAGGAGUGGCGGAUACGCCAGAGGGCUGUGCUGCCAUUCAGAGAGACCUGGACAGGCUGGAGAGGUGGGCAGAGAGGAACCUCAUGAAGUUCAACAAAGGGAAGUGCAGGGUCCUGCACCUGGGGAGGAAUAACCCCAUGCACCAGUACAGGUUGGGGGUUCAGCUGCUGGAAAGCAGCUCUGCBGAGAAGGACCUGGGAGUGCUGGUGGACACCAAGUUAAGCAUGAGGCAGCAAUGUGCCCUUGUGGCCAAGAAGGCCAAUGGUAUCCUGGGCUGCAUCAGGAAGAGUGUUGCCAGCAGGUCGAGGGAGGUGAUUCUCCCCCUCUACUCAGCCCUGGUGAGGCCACAUCUGGAGUACUGCGUCCAGUUCUGGGCUCCCCAGUACAAGAGGGAUGUGGCACUACUGGAGCAAGUCCAGCGAAGGGCUACAAAGAUGAUUAGGGGACUGGAGCAUCUCUCUUAUGAGGAAAGGCUGAGAGAGCUGGGCCUGUUUAGCUUGGAGAAGAGAAGGCUGAGAGGAGAUCUUAUCAAUGUGUACAAGUAUCUGAAGGGAGGGUGUCGAGAGGAUGGGACCAGACUCUUUUCAGUGGUGCCAAGCGACAGGACGCAAGGCAACGGGCACAAACUGAAACACAGACACUUCCAUCUGAACAUGAGGAAAAACUUUUUCACUGUGAGGGUGACAGAGCACUGGAACAGGUUGCCCAGAGAGGUUGUGGAGUCUCCUUCUCUGGAGAUAUUCAAAACGCGCCUGGAUGCAAUCCUGUGCAAUGUGCUCUAGGUGACCCUGCUUGAGCAGGGGGGUUGGACUAGAUGAUCUCCAGAGGUCCCUUCCAACCUCAGCGAUUCUGUGAUUCUGUAUUAGAAAG
rnacentral:lncRNA from 1 species